rnacentral:rRNA from 1 species
ACCCAGACUCCUACGGGAGGCAGCAGUGAGGAAUAUUGGUCAAUGGGCGAGAGCCUGAACCAGCCAAGUCGCGUGAGGGAGUACUGCCCUAUGGGUUGUAAACCUCUUUUGUCGGGGAGCAAAAGCCGGACGUGUCCGGCUGUGAGAGUACCCGAAGAAAAAGCAUCGGCUAACUACGUGCCAGCAGCCGCGGUAAUACGUAGGGGGCAAGCGUUAUCCGGAUUUACUGGGUGUAAAGGGAGCGUAGGCGGUUAGAUAAGUCUGAUGUGAAAGCCCACAGCUUAACUGUGGGAUUGCAUUGGAAACUAUAGAACUAGAGUGUCGGAGAGGGAAGUGGAAUUCCUAGUGUAGCGGUGAAAUGCGUAGAUAUUAGGAGGAACACCAGUGGCGAAGGCGGAUUGCUGGACAGUAACUGACGCUGAGGCGCGAAAGCGUGGGGAGCAAACAGGAUUAGAUACCCCCGUAAUG